CUCACAGCAUGUCGAAACUACGGCAAGUAGAACACGUGCAGGCACAUCUUGCCUUUUACGAACCGCUUUAUGAAGAACAAGCACAUUAAAAAACUCGUACUUUGUUAGAAUUGUAAAACUGUGGAACUAUGUAUGUAAAUCUGCUCCUCCCAACUGCUACGACACUCUUUCCAACUGUAAAGCAUACCCACACAAGACUUAUCUCCACUUAACAGCCACUGCUUACACUCCUGACGAACCAAACUCGCACUCUUUGAUCACGACCAACUGACAUCUUCCACUCCUCCAUGUAUCUCUUUCUACCUCUUCUCUCGUUUCAUCUACUGUGCUUCUAACCUUCCAUUUCUCUUUUCUAUUUCAUAUAUUUUGUAAUUUUGUCUGUUCUGUAAUAUUUAGUAGUGAGCACCCUGCAUGGGACAUGGUCUCGUUUGUGCUUCGCCUCUUUUGGCACCUGUUUGUUUGAUGUUGUCCAUAUGUUUCUCAAAUGUAAUAGUCUAUGUGUAUUAUUCAUGUGUCAAAAUAAA
rnacentral:lncRNA from 1 species